AUUUGACACUCGGAUUACGAACUCAGUAGACUCAACAGGUAGAGUCUUACUGGAUGCUAAAGUCUCACAUACAUAUGAAUGAGUAGAACUAGGGUCAAUCAAAGCAAUCACAUCAGUAUCAAAGAGAGUAAAAGUACCGGUAAUAACAUCAGGCGAGGAAACAUCCUCGCGUGCGCGUAUAGCAUAAGCUCUAGCAGGAGCACGA
rnacentral:lncRNA from 1 species